GAUCCGGGGUGGAAUGUCAGACCAGUCACAAAUAUACUGUGCACCUCCUGCAGAGUCAGUAUAGGCUGGAAACAAAUUAAAGAAAUAAUCGGAGAAUUAACACCCACACCUAGCAGAUGGUCAAACAAGAAAAACAGAAUGGAUAUCAAGGAUUGAUGACAAGAUUGAAGGAGUGAAAUCAGCAAAAAGGCAAUAUCAAAUGGUUAAAUUAUAGUCAUAUUAAAAAAACAAAUAAGGAAAGUAAAGAUAUAUUCUAUUUAAUAAUUAGACUCAACGAGGCGCAUAGCGGCAAGUUGCCUAUUUGACGCAUAGAAAACGAGAUUGAGUAGUCUAAUUGUUUUAGUAUAAAUCCACUCACAAACUACCCUCAAAUUAAUGAUGAUUUAAAUAAUUCUGAGAAAUAAAUAACCGCUUUUGUCACGAAAAGCAACAGCUUUUUCGCUACUCACUAUCUAUGGCUCAAUAAACAGUGAGUACGGGAGCCAAUAAAAUUGCGAGAUUUGUGAUAGUAUGUGAGUGGAUUUAUACUAAUAAAUGUUAUAUUGUCCUUUCAUUCAACAUUUAAAAAACAAUAAAACUCCAAAUGAAUAUUGGUGGCUGGCA